AAUCUCGAAAGCCUAUCUCAGUUCGGAUUGGAGGCUGAAACCCGCCUCCAUGAAGUUGGAUUCGCUAGUAAUCGCGCAUCAGCCAUGGCGCGGUGAAUACGUUCCCGGGCCUUGUACACACCGCCCGUCAAGCCAUGGGAGCUGGGGGUGCCUGAAGUUCGUGACCGCAAGGAUCGACCUAGGGCAAAACCGGUGACUGGGGCUAAGUCGUAACAAGGUAUC
rnacentral:rRNA from 1 species